rnacentral:rRNA from 1 species
UGCCCAGUGACAUAGUUAAACGGCCGCGGUACCCUGACCGUGCGAAGGUAGCAUAAUCACUUGUUCUUUAAAUGGGGACUCGUAUCAACGGCAUCACGAGGGCUUUACUGUCUCCUUUCUCCAAUCAGUGAAACUGAUCUCCCCGUGAAGAAGCGGGGAUGACAAUAUAAGACGAGAAGACCCCAUGGAGCUUUAAACCCAACGACACCCCUCAACCCCCCAACCCAUUAUAGUUGCUACAGCCCUGUUCGUUGGUUUUAGGUUGGGGUGACCGCGGAGUAUAAAUUACCCUCCACGACGAAUGGGACUACCCCCUUACCCAAGAGCUACUCCUCUAAGGAUCAACAGAUUGACGUAAAAUGAUCCAAGCAUUUGAUCAACGGACCAAGUUACCCUGGGGAUAACAGCGCAAUCCAUUUCAAGAGCUCCUAUCGACAAAUGGGUUUACGACCUCGAUGUUGGAUCAGGGUACCCAAGUGGUGCAGCCGCUACUAAUGGUUUGUUUGUUCAACAAUUAAAACCCU